GCUUAGAAGCAGCCAUCAUUUAAAGAAAGCGUAAUAGCUCACUGGUCGAGUCGGCCUGCGCGGAAGAUGUAACGGGGCUAAACCAUGCACCGAAGCUGCGGCAGCGACGCUUAUGCGUUGUUGGGUAGGGGAGCGUUCUGUAAGCCUGUGAAGGUGUGCUGUGAGGCAUGCUGGAGGUAUCAGAAGUGCGAAUGCUGACAUAAGUAACGAUAAAGCGGGUGAAAAGCCCGCUCGCCGGAAGACCAAGGGUUCCUGUCCAA
rnacentral:rRNA from 1 species